GGCCUUGUAUUCAUUUUGUGAUUAUAGAAUGCAAUUCUGUAGGGGUAGGUCGAGGACUUAUCAAGGCCU
rnacentral:tRNA from 1 species